rnacentral:rRNA from 1 species
UACGGAGGAUCCAAGCGUUAUCCGGAAUCAUUGGGUUUAAAGGGUCCGUAGGCGGUCUAAUAAGUCAGUGGUGAAAGCCCAUCGCUUAACGAUGGAACGGCCAUUGAUACUGUUAGACUUGAAUUACUGGGAAGUAACUAGAAUAUGUAGUGUAGCGGUGAAAUGCUUAGAUAUUACAUGGAAUACCAAUUGCGAAGGCAGGUUGCUACCAAUACAUUGACGCUGAUGGACGAAAGCGUGGGGAGCGAACAGG